AUGGUUGUUGGGAAUGUUUUACUAAUUGCUCCUUAGCUUGGGCUGUGAUGCUUUAUUAUUACUCAUAUAUCAUUCGGGUGGAUAUUCUUGUGAAUUAAUGUUUGUCCUGGUCAUUGCAGGGAGUACUUCUUUGGGAAGAUUGUGUUGUUCUUGUUCUUUAAUAGUGUGAAGAAUGUCAGAUGCAGAUAGGAGGUGGAUGCGUAUGUCCAGAUUUACUUCUGAAUGGCAAACAGGAUUCAAGAACUAUGUUUAGAGUAUAUUUGAAGGCACAUCUAAAGAAGAAACUAC
rnacentral:lncRNA from 1 species